UACGUAGGUGGCAAGCGUUAUCCGGAUUUACUGGGUGUAAAGGGCGUGUAGGCGGGUUUGCAAGUUGGAUGUGAAAUCCUCAGGCUUAACCUGAGAGGGUCAUCCAAAACUGCAGAUCUUGAGUACUGGAGAGGAUAGUGGAAUUCCUAGUGUAGCGGUGAAAUGCGUAGAGAUAUGGAGGAACACCAGUGGCGAAGGCGGCUUCCUGGUCUGUAACUGACACUGAGGCGCGAAAGCGUGGGGAGCAAACAGGAUUAGAUA
rnacentral:rRNA from 1 species